rnacentral:rRNA from 1 species
GCUGGUGUCUUUAGCGAUAGGGCCACACCUGAUCCCAUCUCGAACUCAGAAGUUAAGCCUAUCAGCGGCGAUGGUAGUGCAGUCGUGAGACUGUGGGAGAGUAGCACGAUGCCAGCU